GUCAGUGGGGUGUAGUGGUUUGAGUGUUGGACUGUGAUUCUAAAGACCAGGGUUCGAAUCCUUGCUCAGCCA